ACAAAAGCCGCAUACUUGUACUGGAUAAUUUCAAUAAGGACACAAGUAAUAGAGAUUCAGCUUCAAACAGAACACAUGCAAGUUGACAUGAUUCUCCUCUGGCUCUGUCCUCAUCAUGAGUAAGGGCAGCUCGGGAGCCUGGCUAAAGGCGCUGCUUCUCGGCCGGACCGGGGUGCUGUGCGGCCCAGGCACUGUGGCAUUCAGUGCACUGGCGUGGGGCUAGCCACGCUCUGUAACUGGCACUGGGAUGAGGGCCGGCGCUUGUCGUGAUUUCUGGGCGCUUCUGCUGACGUGCACCGUGGCGGGCUGGCUGUGCUUUGUCAUCGGCGCGAAGGAGGAAAUAAAGAGGCGAGGAAAUUAUCCAAAUCCA